rnacentral:rRNA from 1 species
CACAGACAACCAGGAUGUUGGCUUAGAAGCAGCCACUCAUUCAAAGAGUGCGUAAUAGCUCACUGGUCGAGUGAUCCUGCGCCGAAGAUUUCCGGGGCUAAAACUUACUACCGAAGCUACGGCAUCAGUAAUGAUGGGUAGGGGAGCUUCCCAUACGGGUUGAAGCAUGACCGUAAGGACAUGUGGACAGUAUGGGAGUGAGAAUGUUGGCAUGAGUAGCGAGAUGUGGGUGAGAAUCCCACAGGCCGUAAACCCAA